UCUUCGUUUAGACAUUAGAUAAGCCCUGGGA
rnacentral:piRNA from 1 species